rnacentral:rRNA from 1 species
UACGUAGGUGGCAAGCGUUGUCCGGAUUUACUGGGCGUAAAGCGAACGCAGGCGGACUGUUAAGUAGGAAGUGAAAGGUUGGAGCUCAACUCUAACACUGCUUCCUAUACUGGCAGUCUUGAGUGGCGGAGAGGGAGAUGGAACGACACGUGUAGCGGUGAAAUGCGUUGAUAUGUGUCGGAACACCAAUGGCGAAAGCAAUCUCCUGGACGCAAACUGACGCUGAGGUUCGAAAGCCAAGGUAGCAAACAGG